UUAUAAAAAUUUAAAAUUAAUUACUUAAAAAUUAAUAGUUAAGUUCUUUAAAUUUAAAAGAUUUGGCGGUAUUUUAGUCUUAUUAGAGGAACCUGUUUUUUAAUUGAUAAUCCACGAUUAAUUUUACUUAUUUUAAAAAUUCAUAUAUCGCUGUCAUGAAUAUAUUUAAAAAUUUAUUUUCUUUAAUUAUCUCAGUAAUUUAUGUUAAGUCAAGAUGUGGUUUAUAAAUAAGAUAAUAAUGGGUUACAGUAAAUUGUAUUUAUGGAUUUAUAAUGAAAAUAAAUAAUGAAAUUGAAUUUAAUAGUAAUUUUAAUUAUUUAAUUAAUAUGAAUAAAGAUCUAAGAUAUGUACAUAUUGCCCGUCAUUCUUAUUAAAAAUAAGACAAGUCGUAACAAAGUAAAUGUACUGGAAAGUGUAUUUAGAAAGA
rnacentral:rRNA from 1 species